GUCACGCCCGAAGUCGUUACCCUAACCGAAAGGAGGGGGAUGCCGAAGGCAGGGCUAGUGACUGGGGUGAAGUCGUAACAAGGUAGCCGUACCGGAAGGUGUGGCUGGAUCACCUCCUUUAAGGGAGACCUACUAUCACUUGCAACCCUAAAAAAACGCAAGGAUUGAUAGACAUCCCAAGGUCGUGCCAGAGAAUGAGAGAAAUUAGAUUUCCAACUAUUUGUUAGGGUUCGUAAAAAAGCACCUUGAAAACUGCAUAGAAAAUAGAUAGAGAAAUAUCAGAAAAUCUGAUAACCAGGUGAAAAAUCCAGGUCAAGCUACAAAGAGCUAACGGUGGAUACCUAGGCACACAGAGG
rnacentral:sRNA from 1 species